AGGAGCAGGCGCGCAAUUACCCAAUCCUGACUCAGGGAGGUAGUGACAAGAAAUAACAAUAAACCGGCUUAUGCCGGUUUAAUUGGAAUGAGUACAAUUUAAACAUCUUAACGAGGAACAAUUGGAGGGCAAGCCUGGUGCCAGCAGCCGCGGUAAUUCCAGCUCCAAUAGCGUAUACUAAAGUUGUUGCAGUUAAAAAGCUCGUAGUUGGAUUUCUGUGGGGACGGAGCGGCCGGCCGCACAUCGCGGUUCGAGCUAGCGCUUUCCCUACAUCCUGCCGCGAACCGUGCUACCAUUAGUUUGGUGGCGCUGGGGAUCGGCUCGAUUACUUUGAGAAAAAUAGAGUGUUCAAAGCAGGCCACAUGCCUUGAAUAAGUUAGCAUGGAAUAAUAACUAAGGACUUCGGUUCUAUUUUGUUGGUGUUCGGGACUGAAGUAAUGAUUGAUAGGGACAGUUGGGGCGGUCUGUAUUCCAAAGCGAGAGGUGAAAUUCUUAGACCUUCGGAAGACAAACAGCUGCGAAAGCGUUCCGCAAGGAUGUUCCCUUUGAUCAAGAACGAAAGUUGGGGGAUCGAAGACGAUCAGAUACCGUCGUAGUCUCAACUAUAAACUAUACCAGCUAGGGAUCGGCCAACGUUAUUUUAUACCGACUUGGUCGGCACCUUAUGAGAAAUCAAAGCAUCUGGGUUCCGGGGGGAGUAUGGUCGCAAGGCUGAAACUUAAAGGAAUUGACGGAAGGGCACCACCAGCCGUGGAGCCUGCGGCUUAAUUUGACUCAACACGGGAAAACUUACCAGGUCCAGACAUAGUAAGGAUUGACAGAUUGAUAGCUCUUUCUUGAUUCUGUGGGUGGUGGUGCAUGGCCGUUCUUAGUUGGUGGAGUGAUUUGUCUGGUUAAUUCCGUUAACGAACGAGACCCCAGCCUGCUAAAUAGCGCGCGUGAGCUUUGCUCGCGGCGAGCUUCUUAGAGGGACUAUGAUGCGCGAUAGCACAUGGAAGUUUGGGGCAAUAACAGGUCUGUGAUGCCCUUAGAUGUUCUGGGCCGCACACGGGCUACACUGGCGCCUGCAACGAGCAUAUCAGCUGGCCCGAGAGGGUCUUGGCUAAUCUUUUGAACCGGCGCCGUGCUUGGGAUUGACCUUUGCAAUUGUUGGUCAUGCAACGAGGAAUGCCUUGUAAACGCGAGUCAUCAGCUCGCAUUGAAUACGUCCCUGCCCUUUGUACACACCGCCCGUCGCUCCUACCGAUGAAUGUUCCGAUGAAAUUUUCGGAGAGUGCCUGUGAACUUGGCUCUGCCUUGCGAACGGGAAGCUCAAAGUCACUUAAAUCUAAACUUUGAGG
rnacentral:rRNA from 1 species